rnacentral:lncRNA from 13 species
UGCUAUCUAACAGAGUCUCCUCAUUGAAAACAUCUGAAGUUCUUCAAAGGUAAAUUAUUUUAUUUGAAUGCUUUUAUGGUUUUUUGUGGAAAAUGUUGCAUGCUGAAUGCUAGGCUUAAUGCAAUGCUAGGCUAUCAAUACUCUUACACAAAUGCUUGUUUAGCUAUGGUUCAAAAGCAUAUUUUGAAAAUCUGAGAUGACAGUGUUGUUAACAAAAGGCUAAGCUUGAGAGCAAAUAGAUUUAUUUCAUUUCAUUAGCCAUUUUCAUGAAUAGUUAACGUUGUGUUAUGCUAAUGAGCUUGCUGAUAGAUUUACACAAUCCUGGAUACAGGGGUUUUUUCGUAGCUAAACGUGACGCAGAAAACGGAGCGAUUUGUCCUAAACAAAUAAUCUUUCAGGAAAAACUGAACAUUUGCUAUCUGAGAGUGUCCUCAUUGAAAACAUCUGAAGUUCUUCAAAAGGUAAAUGAUUUUAUUUGAAGGCUUUUAUGUUUUUGUUAAUGUUGCGUGCUGGAUGCUAACGCUAAUGCUAACGCUAAAUGCUAACGCGAAAUGCUAACGCUAGCUAGCUACUUUUACACAAAUGAUUGUUUUCCUAUGGUUGAGAAGCAUAUUUUGAAAAUCUGAGAUGACAGUGUUGUUUACAAAAGGCUAAGCUUGAGAUAUAUAUAUAUAUAUAUAUAUAUAUAUAUAUAUAUAUAUAUAUAUAUAUAUAGAUAUAGAUAUAGAUAUAGAUAUACAUAUUUAUUUCAUUUCAUUUGCGAUUUUCAUAAAUAGUUAACGUUGUGUUAUGCUAAUGAGCUUGCUGAUAGAUUUACACAAUCCUGGAUACAGGGGUUUUUUCAUAGCUAAACGUGACGCAGAAAACGGAGCGAUUUGUCCUAAACAAAUAAUCUUUCAGGAAAAACUGAACAUUUGCUAUCUGAGAGUCUCCUCAUUGAAAACAUCUGAAGUUCUUCAAAGGUAAAUGAUUUUAUUUGAAUGCUUUUCUGUUUUUUUGUGUAAAUGUUGCCAGAUGGAAAGCUAAUGCUAAAUGCUACGUUAGCCAUCAAUACUGUUACACAAAUGCUUGUUUUGCAAUGGUUGAGAAGCAUAUUUUGAAAAUCUGAGAUGACAGUGUUGUUAACAAAAGGCUAAGCUUGAGAGCUAGCAUAUUUAUUUCAUUUCAUUUGCGAUUUUCAUGAAUAGUUAACGUUGCGUUAUGGUAAUGAGCUUGAGUCUGUAUUCACGAUCCCGGAUCCGGGAUGGGGAGAUCAGAAAGGUUAAAUGUAAUAACUCGCUAACGUUAAGAGUGUUUAAGGUGUGUCUUAGUAACAUCUUGAGGAAGUUAGAGUUAAGUUUGAAGAGAGUAAUAUUAGCCCUGCUCGGUUGUAGCAAAGAAUAGCAUCGUACUGAGAGUAGCUGACAUUUUAUGUCGAUUGUGAAUGAACAUGUGCGUUGUUAAUAAGAUAUUUUGCUGUGUUAUUUGUAUAAUGGUUUUUCUGUUGUUUUGUAAUGUGUUAUUUUUGUGAAAUGGAUUAAACUAAAAGUUGCAUUGAGAAAACAAUACCAUAUCACUCUCGUGAUUAUUUCUCCCCUGUUUUCAGGGGCGUAACAUGUGCAGCCCAUCCUCAUCCUGCCGUGUCACGGCAGAUGUCCUGAUACCCUGUGAGGAAGAGGAACGUUUUCCCAGGGAAGUUUGGGAUGACCCUUGCGGCAUGUUCAUACAAUACCAUCUCACUGUAGUUACACUCUAAAGAACCCAGCCCUGACAUAAAUAAGACAUCACUAUGGAUUAAUGAGGUUUAUCAUUACCAUGCAGAAAAGCUAACUGUACAGUGUGUCCUUACAGUGCACAAUGUUCUUGACUGUGUGUGCACCACCAUAGAUGCCUUUCUCUGUCUGGAGUGAGAAUCACUACAUCCUCUCUCUCUCUCCUGUCCUAGGGUUUAUUAUCAAACUUUUCGUCAUGUAUCGUCAAUGCAAUAUAUUACACUAAGCUAUUAUUUCAGUGAUUUCUAUAUUAAUAUACACUCAACAAAAAUAUAAACACAACACAUAACAAUUUCAAACAUUUUACUUACUUAGAGUUCAUAUAAGGAAAUCAGUCAAUUGAAAUAAAUGCAUUAUGCCCUAAUCUAUGGAUUUCACAUGACUGGAAUACAGAUAUGCAUCUGUUGGUCACAGUUACCUUCAAAAAAAAGCUAGGGGCGUGGAUCAGAAAACCAGUCAGUAUCCA